GCCAUGAUAUACUAUGUUUGUAUUUUUGUAUGGGUUACCGUGGUUAGAUUGUUUCAAAUAACUUUCCCCAUUUGUGCCGAUCAAGAAUUACAACUAAUUUAGUGCCAUUAGGCACAAGGAGGAUUUUAUUUAUGGAACAAGGUACAGUAAAAUGGUUUAAUGCAGACAAAGGUUUUGGUUUUAUUACUCGCGAAGAUGGUAGCGAUGUAUUCGUACAUUUCUCAGCUAUCCAAGGUGACGGGUUCAAAACUUUAGACGAAGGCCAACAUGUAACUUUCGACGUUGAAGAAAGCGACCGUGGCCCACAAGCUGUUAACGUUGUUAAAGACUAAUUAAUUUUUAAAACAGUUUAACCGGAGUAAGACAGCUGUCUUGCUCCGGUUU
rnacentral:sRNA from 1 species